AAUACAAGGGGUGCUGCCCAUUAAGGCGGCUGAGAUAGAGGCUAUUUCGUCUUUGACCCUAAUACCUGAUCUGGGUAAUGCCAGCGUAGGAAUUUAUA
rnacentral:ncRNA from 1 species